rnacentral:rRNA from 1 species
GAUGAACGCUGGCGGCGUGCCUAAUACAUGCAAGUCGAGCGAACAGAUGAGGAGCUUGCUCCUCUGACGUUAGCGGCGGACGGGUGAGUAACACGUGGAUAACCUACCUAUAAGACUGGGAUAACUUCGGGAAACCGGAGCUAAUACCGGAUAAUAUAUUGAACCGCAUGGUUCGAUAGUGAAAGACGGUUUUGCUGUCACUUAUAGAUGGAUCCGCGCCGCAUUAGCUAGUUGGUAAGGUAACGGCUUACCAAGGCAACGAUGCGUAGCCGACCUGAGAGGGUGAUCGGCCACACUGGAACUGAGACACGGUCCAGACUCCUACGGGAGGCAGCAGUAGGGAAUCUUCCGCAAUGGGCGAAAGCCUGACGGAGCAACGCCGCGUGAGUGAUGAAGGUCUUCGGAUCGUAAAACUCUGUUAUUAGGGAAGAACAAAUGUGUAAGUAACUAUGCACGUCUUGACGGUACCUAAUCAGAAAGCAACGGCUAACUACGUG